AUCCUUUUGUAGCCUGUAAGUGUAAUAACUGGGUUUUCACACUAUUAUGUUAGAUAUGCCUCCUUUAAACAUCCUUUUCAUGUAGGCACAUUACUGUCUUACA